GACGAACGCUGGCGGCGCGCUUAACACAUGCAAGUCGAACGGAAAGGCCUGCUUUCCCUUGUGGAUUGCGGGUACUCGAGUGGCGAACGGGUGAGUAACACGUGAGUGAUCUGCCCCCAACUUGGGUAUAAGCCUGGGAAACUGGGUCUAAUUCCCGAUAGGACUUCAGUGUGGUGCCUGUGGUGGAAAACGUUGUUCUAGUGGUUGGGGAUGAGCUCGCGGCCUAUCAGCUGGUUGGUGGGGGAAUGGCCUACCAAUGCGGCGACGGGUAGCCGGCCUGGGAGGGUGGACGGCGACAUUGGGACUGAGCUACGGCCCAGAGUCCUACGGGCGGCAGCGGUGGGGACUGUUGGCAGCUGGGGGGAAGCCUGAUGCAGCGACGCAGCCUGGGGCAUGCCGGCCUUCGUGUUGUAAACUCCUUUCGAGCGCGAGGAAGCCACCUGGUUGGAAGGGUGGUGACGGUAGUGGUAGAAGAAGCACCGGCUAACUCCGUG
rnacentral:rRNA from 1 species